AUUGAACGCUGGCGGAAUGCUUUACACAUGCAAGUCGAACGGCAGCACGGGGGCAGCCCUGGUGGCGAGUGGCGAACGGGUGAGUAAUACAUCGGAACGUGCCCGGUCGUGGGGGAUAACGUAGCGAAAGUUACGCUAAUACCGCAUACGAUCUGAGGAUGAAAGCGGGGGACCUUCGGGCCUCGCGCGAUCGGAGCGGCCGAUGUCAGAUUAGGUAGUUGGUGGGGUAAAGGCCUACCAAGCCGACGAUCUGUAGCUGGUCUGAGAGGACGACCAGGCACACUGGGAGUGAGACACGGCCCAGACUCCUACGGGAGGCAGCAGUGGGGAAUUUUGGACAAUGGGCGCAAGCCUGAUCCAGCCAUUCCGCGUGGAGGACGAAGGCCUUCGGGUUGUAAGAUGCUUUUGUGCGGAACGAAAAGGCUCUGGCUAAUACCUGGGGCUCAUGACGGUACCGGAAGAAUAAGCACCGGCUAACUACGUG
rnacentral:rRNA from 1 species